rnacentral:rRNA from 1 species
ACCCUUCGGGGUGUGACUGCGUACCUUUUGUAUAAUGGGUCAGCGACUUAUAUUCUGUAGCAAGGUUAACCGUAUAGGGGAGCCGGAGGGAAACCGAGUCUUAACCGGGCGUUAAGUUGCAGGGUAUAGACCCGAAACCCGGUGAUCUAGCCAUGGGCAGGUUGAAGGUUGGGUAACACUAACUGGAGGACCGAACCGACUAAUGUUGAAAAAUUAGCGGAUGACCUGUGGCUGGGGGUGAAAGGCCAAUCAAACCGGGAGAUAGCUGGUUCUCCCCGAAAGCUAUUUAGGUAGCGCCUCGUGAAUUCAUCUCCGGGGGUAGAGCACUGUUUCGGCUAGGGGGCCAUCCCGGCUUACCAACCCGAUGCAAACUGCGAAUACCGGAGAAUGUUAUCACGGGAGACACACGGCGGGUGCUAACGUCCGUCGUGAAGAGGGAAACAACCCAGACCGCCAGCUAAGGUCCCAAAGUCAUGGUUAAGUGGGAAACGAUGUGGGAAGGCCCAGACAGCCAGGAUGUUGGCUUAGAAGCAGCCAUCAUUUAAAGAAAGCGUAAUAGCUCACUGGUCGAGUCGGCCUGCGCGGAAGAUGUAACGGGGCUAAACCAUGCACCGAAGCUGCGGCAGCGAACGUAUCACCCAAGACAACUUUACGGAGUUGACGAUUGACGGAGCGAAGCGACGUCAAAGCGUUCAUUAAAGUCGAGUUGGCUUAGGGAUACGUUCGUUGGGUAGGGGAGCGUUCUGUAAGCCUGUGAAGGUGUGUCGUGAGGCAUGCUGGAGGUAUCAGAAGUGCGAAUGCUGACAUAAGUAACGAUAAAGCGGGUGAAAAGCCCGCUCGCCGGAAGACCAAGGGUUCCUGUCCAACGUUAAUCGGGGCAGGGUGAGUCGACCCCUAAGGCGAGGCCGAAAGGCGUAGUCGAUGGGAAACGGGUUAAUAUUCCCGUACUUGGUGUUACUGCGAAGGGGGGACGGAGAAGGCUAUGUUGGCCGGGCGACGGUUGUCCCGGUUUAAGCGUGUAGGUGUGUGUUCCAGGUAAAUCCGGUUCACUUUAACACUGAGGCGUGACGACGAGGCACUACGGUGCUGAAGCAACAAAUGCCCUGCUUCCAGGAAAAGCCUCUAAGCAUCAGGUAACACGAAAUCGUACCCCAAACCGACACAGGUGGUCAGGUAGAGAAUACCAAGGCGCUUGAGAGAACUCGGGUGAAGGAACUAGGCAAAAUGGUGCCGUAACUUCGGGAGAAGGCACGCUGACACGUAGGUGAAGUGAUUUACUCAUGGAGCUGAAGUCAGUCGAAGAUACCAGCUGGCUGCAACUGUUUAUUAAAAACACAGCACUGUGCAAACACGAAAGUGGACGUAUACGGUGUGACGCCUGCCCGGUGCCGGAAGGUUAAUUGAUGGGGUCAGCGUAAGCGAAGCUCCUGAUCGAAGCCCCGGUAAACGGCGGCCGUAACUAUAACGGUCCUAAGGUAGCGAAAUUCCUUGUCGGGUAAGUUCCGACCUGCACGAAUGGCGUAAUGAUGGCCAGGCUGUCUCCACCCGAGACUCAGUGAAAUUGAACUCGCUGUGAAGAUGCAGUGUACCCGCGGCAAGACGGAAAGACCCCGUGAACCUUUACUAUAGCUUGACACUGAACAUUGAGCCUUGAUGUGUAGGAUAGGUGGGAGGCUUUGAAGUGUGGACGCCAGUCUGCAUGGAGCCGACCUUGAAAUACCACCCUUUAAUGUUUGAUGUUCUAACGUGGACCCGUAAUCCGGGUUGCGGACAGUGUCUGGUGGGUAGUUUGACUGGGGCGGUCUCCUCCUAAAGAGUAACGGAGGAGCACGAAGGUUGGCUAAUCCUGGUCGGACAUCAGGAGGUUAGUGCAAUGGCAUAAGCCAGCUUGACUGCGAGCGUGACGGCGCGAGCAGGUGCGAAAGCAGGUCAUAGUGAUCCGGUGGUUCUGAAUGGAAGGGCCAUCGCUCAACGGAUAAAAGGUACUCCGGGGAUAACAGGCUGAUACCGCCCAAGAGUUCAUAUCGACGGCGGUGUUUGGCACCUCGAUGUCGGCUCAUCACAUCCUGGGGCUGAAGUAGGUCCCAAGGGUAUGGCUGUUCGCCAUUUAAAGUGGUACGCGAGCUGGGUUUAGAACGUCGUGAGACAGUUCGGUCCCUAUCUGCCGUGGGCGCUGGAGAACUGAGGGGGGCUGCUCCUAGUACGAGAGGACCGGAGUGGACGCAUCACUGGUGUUCGGGUUGUCAUGCCAAUGGCACUGCCCGGUAGCUAAAUGCGGAAGAGAUAAGUGCUGAAAGCAUCUAAGCACGAAACUUGCCCCGAGAUGAGUUCU